UGUAUGUAUGUGUGUGUGUAUAUAUAUAUAUAUAUAUAUAUAUAUAUGCGCACGCACACACAUUUU